GGACUACUCGGGUUUCUAAUCCCAUUCGAUACCCAUGCUUUUGUGCAUUAGCGUCAGUUAUGUAUUGGUAUUCGUCUUCACCUAUUGGCGUUCCCACUAGACUCAGGCUUUCCUUCCUAGUGCUAGCUAGUUCCAAUACCACCCACAUAACUCAAGUAAUGAUGUAUUGUAUGCUGUAUACAACUCUACAUCAGUCACGAAGAAUACAACUAUCAUUACCGCCUACACACCCUGUACGCCCAGUUAUGCUGACGAGGACUUGCACAUCCCGACUUACCGCGGCGGCUGGCACC
rnacentral:misc_RNA from 1 species